rnacentral:other from 1 species
UUGUUUCUGAAGUAUUCGUGGAGCUCUUAUUUUGAACCUACAUUAUUUAUACGGGAGUUCGAUAUUUAGAUACGGUUUAAUCUAUAAGACCGUGAAACAUGGCAAGAUUAAUAAAGUAUCUGUGAGAACACCCACCUAUCGAGAGAUAGGUGUCAAAAUCAGGGCAGCGGUAUUUUGGAGUUUAA